rnacentral:ncRNA from 2 species
CGGAUUGUUCGCGACUGGCGAGACAGGAUGGAUCACCAUCGGGGAGCGAACAUCAUUGCGUGCCGUUCGCCUGGGCAGUUCCA